AGAGAAUUGGCCGUCUACAAGAACAUUGCCCAGGGGAUGCCAGGAUGUUUUUGAUGUUUUUACCAUCCUUGUGAGAGGCUUGUCUCAUGUCCCCACAUGGAGCUGGAGCUGAAAGAGGGAGCUCAUCCACACUCUCCCCGGCUGACUGCUAUGGUUAUUUUUCAAAGCCCUCAGUGAUUUGUAUGAUGGCAGUGGUAACAAUGUACACACUUUCAACAAAUAACAGUAGCCACUCUGCCAAAAUAAAACUUUUCUCCCCAAAACUUUCACCCACUUUUGAAUGAGCUUCAAAACAUUUUAAGUGGUGGUCUUGAAUAUUUGAAGAUUUUCGGAAACUGUUCUAGGGCCAAUCAAGUUAAUGAGAAAAUAUUGGUAUAUUGAAAUUCUGCGGAAGAACGGGGGAUUAAUAUUGGAAGCUUCGACAUUAAUGAGACAGAGUUUAAUGAAAAUUACAGAUUUUUAGUUAAUUAUUUUGACACGAUGGCUGUGGGUCUGUCAUGGCAGAGAAAUAGAUAACCAGAUGAAAUGGAUAUAGAUAGGUGAUACAUAGAUAGAUAGGUAGACAGAUAUAUAGAGAGAUGGCCCAUAAAUCUAAUGAUAUAGAUAUAGAUAUGUGUGAUUAAAUUACACUUAAAAUACGGUAGGAAUAUUAGUGAGAGAUCGGCGCUCCUAUAUGGCUGGCAGGCAUUUAAUCAUUCUUUACAGGUUGCCAUAGCAACCUGCUUUGAUAACUCACAUCUCCGCACUGGAGUAAAACCAGGGUCACACGGAGCUUUCGAAAAGUGCUGUCUCCUUUAAGCAGAUCUAUAAGCAUCGCAGAUGAACAGAACUCGAAACAUUCCUCCAUGAAUAUUCAUGAAGAAAGCUUAAAGAAAAUAAUGAUGCUGGGGAAAAUGGAAGGAAAAAGAAAGAGGGGCCGAUCAAGGGCAAGAUGGAUCGAUGGUAUCCUUGAAGUGACUGGCUCGACCUUGAAGGAGUUGGGGUUGGCAAUGACCAAGAGGGAGCUCUGACGUGGGCUGGUCCAUGAGGCCAUGAAGAGUUGGAAGCGACUGAACGAAUAAACAACAACAAGCACUAUCUUUUGAUUACUAUAGCUAAUAAAAUACUUAAAAAUACUUUGAAUGUUCCAUUCAAAGAUGUGGAAACUCUAUUGUUGAUUCUCUGGGAGGGUAUAAUCAUUAUUUUUUGAAAAAUACAACCAUACCAGAACUUUUGAAAAAGUUUUUUGCUAUUGAUGUUCUAGUGAGGUUACCACUGGGAAGAAUUAUGAAAUCGUUAAGCCUCUGGUUACGUGAUUUUGUCUCCCAUUUCCACUUCUCACAGUUUGAGCACAACAGUAGAUGACACUAUUAACUGUUACCACUUUCACUCUCCCCCCCCUCGCAGAUGAAUAUAAACAUAUCAUUAUGCAGUUACACUACUCUAUAUUUAGAAUAGAUUUUUAAUUAUCCAUCAGAUAAAAUACCGGAUACAGUGGAAAUAACAGAAAGGCAACUGGAUAACUAGAAAGGUUUACCUCUUUAUUGGAAAUUAGCACAGCUAAGUUUUUUUUUAAAAAAAAAAAUGCCAUUUGUGUGAUUCACAUUUUUGAAACUGGGAUUUUGUUACUAUACAAUUUGAGAAAAAAUGAGGUCACUUCCCAUAUUCCCCAUUUCAAGAAUGCAAGCAAAUGGCCCACAAACCUGUGUCUGGGAUAAGGAAGUAUUUAUUUCCUAGGUCAGAUUGCUCUGCAAUAAAAAAGAAGCAAUUGGUCCUCCCCCUCCUCUUUUUCCUACACUUACUAUUCCCAAACUUGUUCUUUUCCUUUUCUUUUAUAUCAUAUGUUUAUAUUGGAUUUUUUGUUUUUAAAUGCUAGAAUUGUGAAAUUGCACUAAAAAUAAAAAAUAAGGAAUAGCAGUAAUACAGGAAGGUGGAGUUAGGAGGAUUUAUGGAAGUAGGGCUGCAGGACCAUAAACUAUCAGUGCAAUUGUGCUAAUGGAGAGAGAGGUGUGAUAUGCUUCAGAUAAGUGGUAGACAGAUCAAAUAGGGUGCACAUAUUCUGAUUUGGGACGAUUCCAAAGAGGAUGUGGGUUUGUCCUACUACACAGACAUCUGAUAAAUAAAAAUAAAAAUAUAUAGACAUGGCUGUCUGCUGUUUCAUAUGCAUUUGUUAUAAAUUGUUUUUAUAGAUGCAUGUGUACAAAUCUUUUCUGAUCAAAUCUUGCCAAGAAAAUCUCAUGACACGUUUGCCUUAGAGUUGUCAUAAGUCAGAAACCAUUUGGGCACACAGUAUGUGCGUGUUUAUGUAUAUCUGUGUUCACAUAUACAUAUUAUCAAAAAUCCUUCAUACCUUAGUCAGCUAGCAACCUAUAGGAGGCUUAAUGUCCACUGACCAACACAAGGCCUUACUGUACAACAAUUAAGGAAGGGUCUUUGAUAAUACUGGCCACUCCUUGGUAACACUGCCCAAAUCAGCGCAUGGGACGCUUUUUCAUGUGUAAAGUUAUUCUCCAUCCUUGUCAGAGAGAAACUUGUUUGACCAGUAGCAUAGUUUCUCAAACUGUGCUCCUCCAGGUGUUUUGGACUUCAGCUCCCACAAUUCCUAACAACUGGUAAGCUGGAUGGGAUUUCUGAGAGCUGAAGUCCAAAACACUUGGAGGAGCACAGUUUGAGAAACACUGAGGUUUAGGAACACUAUUUCCUUGGGACAGAUUGUAUACAUGCUUGGAGCAUACGUUGAGCAGAGAGCUGGCAAAACUUGAUAGCAAAGCCAUAUACUCAUUUUCAAUGAUUUUGCAAUUUUAAAAAUGUAAUAGGAUUUUUAAUAUGGUGACUUGUUUGAUUAUGGUUUUUAAAAUGUAUCAUUGAAUGUUGAAUGUUUUCCUUGAUUUGCUAUUUCUGUAGGCCACCUUGAGUCUAAUGCAGGGGUCCUCCAACUUUUUAAGCUGAGGGCCAGUUCACAGUCCCUCAAACUGUUGGAGGGCUGGACUAUGGUUUGAAAAAAAAACAUGAACACAUUCCUAUGCACACUGCACAUAUCUUAUUUGUAGUGCAAAAAUGAAAUAAAAAUAUAAUAUUUAACCAACAAGUAUUUGAGUGGGAAGUGUGGGUCUGCUUUUGACUGGUGAGAUAGUCAGAUUUAUUAGGACUGUUGUUAUUGUGUGCCUUCAUGUCAUUUCAGACUUAGAGUGACCCUAAGUUUAGAGUCUAGGGCAAGGGUUGGGUACAUGGGCUGCCUCCGACCCAUGAGCUUUAGUUUGGGAACCCCUGGUCUAAUGCAUACAUAUCUAUAGUGCAUUUUCCAGCAAUUGAAAUCAUCCAAGGGUAGCAUGCAACUCACUGGCCACUGACUCCUCAAUGUGAUACUCAUGAAUGUGGAAUACUUCUGUUAUGCAGGGGUGGGAAUCAUAUAGUUGUGGAAGGCCCUAUCCAACAUAACCAAUGGAGAGGAAUUCAGAAAGACCAUUCUCACUCUGAAUGUUAAACCUUAGCUUGGAACUUGGAACUCGUUGUUAACUUCUGUCAAGCCAGCUUUGGUUUAUGGAAUCCUUUGAAUGAGAAAAUCCAAGUCACCCUAUCAUCAACAGCCCUGCGGAGGUCUUGGCAGCCUAUCAAACCAUAGUUGAAUAAACUGUAAUGAAGUCUUCCUCUUUUCUUGCUGCCUUCUCCCUUACCAAGAAUUAUUCAGGAGAGUCAUGUUUUCUCCUGGUAUGUCCAGAGUAGUCUGAAUUUGGACUCUGAGAAGACUUCAGACUUGAUUUGUGCUAGGACUCAUUUAUUUCUUUUUCUUUUUUAGCAGUGCUGGAACUCAUGCUUCCCUUUACACAUAUGUUUUAAUAAAUGAGAGAUUAUAUCUCUGCUGAGAUGA